GCAGUCGAACGGUGAACACGGAGCUUGCUCUGUGGGAUCAGUGGCGAACGGGUGAGUAACACGUGAGCAACCUGCCCCUGACUCUGGGAUAAGCGCUGGAAACGGCGUCUAAUACUGGAUACGAACCAUGAAGGCAUCUUCAGUGGUUGGAAAGAUUUAUUGGUUGGGGAUGGGCUCGCGGCCUAUCAGCUUGUUGGUGAGGUAAUGGCUCACCAAGGCGUCGACGGGUAGCCGGCCUGAGAGGGUGACCGGCCACACUGGGACUGAGACACGGCCCAGACUCCUACGGGAGGCAGCAGUGGGGAAUAUUGCACAAUGGGCGCAAGCCUGAUGCAGCAACGCCGCGUGAGGGAUGACGGCCUUCGGGUUGUAAACCUCUUUUAGCAGGGAAGAAGCGAAAGUGACGGUACCUGCAGAAAAAGCGCCGGCUAACUACGUGCCAGCAGCCGCGGUAAUACGUAGGGCGCAAGCGUUAUCCGGAAUUAUUGGGCGUAAAGAGCUCGUAGGCGGUUUGUCGCGUCUGCUGUGAAAUCCGGAGGCUCAACCUCCGGCCUGCAGUGGGUACGGGCAGACUAGAGUGCGGUAGGGGAGAUUGGAAUUCCUGGUGUAGCGGUGGAAUGCGCAGAUAUCAGGAGGAACACCGAUGGCGAAGGCAGAUCUCUGGGCCGUAACUGACGCUGAGGAGCGAAAGGGUGGGGAGCAAACAGGCUUAGAUACCCUGGUAGUCCACCCCGUAAACGUUGGGAACUAGUUGUGGGGUCCAUUCCACGGAUUCCGUGACGCAGCUAACGCAUUAAGUUCCCCGCCUGGGGAGUACGGCCGCAA
rnacentral:rRNA from 1 species